AUGAAUUUCUUCUUCUGCCUAAUCGCUGUGGGGGGUGUUGCCGUCUUCGUAGUGCUGCGGCUGUGGCUGGUAGUCGGCUUCCGAAGAAAGGGGCUAAAGACAGUGUCCGUCAGGGUGCUGGUGGUGGCCGGGUCCGGUGGGCACACUACAGAAAUUCUGAGGCUGCUGGGAAGUUUGUCCAAAGACUAUAAUCCAAGGCAUUAUGUCUUUGCUGACACCGAUAAGAUGAGUGCUGUUAAAAUUCGUUUGUUUGAAGAGAAGAGAGCUGAGAGAGAUUCUGAAUCCUUGUACACAACUCACCGCGUGCCCAGAAGUCGCGAGGUCCAGCAGUCUUGGAGCUCUUCCGUGUUCACAACCUUGUAUGCCGUGUGCUACUCUCUUCCUCUGACUUUUCGACUCAAGCCAGACUUGGUGUUGUGUAAUGGCCCAGGAACAUGCGUUCCUAUCUGUGCAUCUGCCCUUCUUCUUGGGAUACUAGGAAUAAAGAAAGUGAUCAUUGUCUACGUUGAGAGUAUCUGCAGAGUGGAAACCUUAUCCCUUUCCGGAAAGAUUCUUUACCACUUUUCAGAUUACUUCAUUGUUCAGUGGCCAGCCCUUAAGGGAAAAUAUCCCAAAUCUGUGUACCUUGGGCGAAUAGUUUGACAGAGAACAAAUGAUGUUUUCAGAUUCCUACAGUCAUCUAUGGUAUUUUUUUAUAAUAGGGCCCUCUCUGGAGAAUAAAAAUGCCUGCAAAAUUUCUGGGAGAGUUCUGGGAAGACAAUGGAAUGAAAGAGAUUGCAAAGAAGCCAGAUUCUUAAUGACCUACCUCAAAAAUCAUAGUAGAAAUGCUGUAAACAAAAUUACCAAAAAUUUUACAAGAAAAUUAAAGCUUACCAAAAGACAGUGAUCAAAUCCAAGAAAAACUGAUGCUUUUUUAAAAAAAUCACAGAGUAAGAGAAAUAAGGAGGGAAAUAUUAGAAAGUAAAUAGAGACUCAAAUGAUAACAGAAUAAAAUAAAAAAUGCACAUAUCUUUCCCCCACCUGAACAACAAUAACAAAAUCACAAGGAAUUUUAAAGAUAGCUGAAAGCAAAGUUUAAGAAACCUCUGGAGAAAUUAAAAGAAGAAUUGAAUGUAACUAAGGAAUCUCUAGAAGAGAUCGUGGAAAAACUUCUGAGGAUGGAUAAUAGAAUUUUGAAAAAUUCAGGGGGCAUGCAUGGCCAAAAACCAGAAUUAAUGCAAUGGAGCAAAGAACAUAACUGAUGUGGAAAAACAAGGUCAGAAAAUAACCCAACUGGAAAAAAUGUUUGGAAACCAUGCAGGUAGAAGUUUCAGAUUUGGAAGACAACUCUAAAAGAAGAAACCUCAAGAUUGGGAGAGGGAGGAGGGUUGCUAGAAAAUAAUAGGGAUUUUUACCUCCCCAAUCAACCCCCCCCCAUUUUUUUACAGAGCCUUGACGAUGACUCAUAUAAACCAGAGGGCUUUAAUCAUGAGCGUGAGUAACCAUAGACAAAUCAUAUAAGCUGUCUGAGUUUUAAUUUCUUAAUCUGUAAAAUGAGUAGUAGAAGAAAGAGAUGGGACAGGAAGUGGGAUAGCUAUAGAACUAUCUUUCAAGAUUGUGAAGAUCAAAUGUGAUGAAGCCAUUAUUAAAUAUCAUUUCCUAAGUUAAUUUAAUGCCAAUGAAGUACUUAAAUUAAGUAAAAUUUAUUCAUCUUGUUAAUAAUUUCUGUUUACUUUUUAUAAUACUUCAAUGACCUUUUCUUUUUAAAAAAUUUUGCAAUCUCCCAACUCUUCUCCCAGGUCAGACCAUGUCCUUCUUCUAUGGAAUCAACUCUACUGGCUCCCAUUAAAUACACAUUCCUCCAACAAACUCCUAUGCAACCUGACCCCAAUCCUCGUUUCUAGCCUUAUUACAUAUUACUCCCUUUCAUGAGUACUAAACUCUUGCCAAACUUAAACUUAAAAUUCCUUAUACUCCAUCUUGGGUCUUUUGCAGUGACUGUUCCCCCAGCCCAGAAAGAUGUACCCCCAAUUUCCUCUGUGCUUUCAUUCAAGGCUAAGCCUGAAUGCUACUUUCUACAUGAAGGCUUUCCUGAUUCCUUUAGCUUCUAGUGCCUGACCUGUAUUCCCACCCAAUUAUAUUAUAUCUGCAUUGUACACACCUACAUAUACACAGGUUGUCUCCCUCAACUAGAUUAUAAGCUCCUUGAGGGGAAGUCUCACUUUUGUCUUUAUAACUAUGCCUGGCAUGGAGAAGAUUGUUAGUAAAUACUUGUCCAGAGAGUGACUGGCAAAGGAACUCCAUAAAUAAUCACUGAUUUUUUAAAAAUGUAAAUUGUUCUAAAUAGAUGGUCUUAAUUGAAAUUUUUUUAUAUUUUGUCUGUAUUUGUUGAGUUUAUAAGUUGGGGUUUUUUUUAAGAUUACAAAAGGAUCCUUUUAACUUUUCAUAGUUUGGGUAUCAAAGUCACAAUCUCUUUGGACAUAGUUUUCUUAAGAGCAAAUCAAAAGUUACCCUUCUUAAGUUUCCUGAAUGCCUUAGUUAACUGAGAUAAAACACAUUCACACACACUUUCCCCAAGCAUAUUUAAUAUGUGUGUUUCCUAUAGAUUUGAGGUUACUUUCCUCCUUAUUUCCUACUCAUUCCUUAGAAUGCACUGUGUUAGCAUGUUUAAGAAUGUCUCCAGUUAGCCACAUCAAGACCCAUCAGUAGUAUUUCAAGGAACCUGUGACUGCCCAGGGCUCCUUGAACUUCAGGGCACCUUGACAUGUUCUAACAAGGACUGAAAUAGAAGAAACUGGAAGCAAAACAACAUUCAGCCAAGAAAUACUUGGCUUUUUUUUUUUCUUUUACCAUUAAAAAAAUAUAAUAAGGGAUAUUGUGUGUGUGUGGCUCACAGGGAGGCAAGAAUAUACAUCUCUAGCAUCUCCUCCCCCAACUCUUCUCCAAGACAGAUUUUGUUUCCUGCCAGGAGGGGAAGCAAGUGGUUGGGUAGACUAGACUAGAAUUAUAUCUGUCUGCUUCCUUAAAUAUUGUUAGUCUAAGGGUAUACUUUUUAAAUUCAAGCUAAACUUCUUUUCUCUAUUUCUUAAUAGGGAAAUGGGGACCCCCAUGCUCUAUAUCUAAGGCUUGACCCCUUUCCCACCAGAUGCCAGUUCCACAAUGAACACACAUGUAGCGAAGAGCAGAGAAACCCACUCAUCCAAGUCAACAGCAAAUAGAAAUCAGAGAAUAUGUACAUAGGAGAAUAUAAACCAAUGAUACAGAUUGAAGGAGUUCUCUCCUUAGGAGCCUGGUAACUUAGCUCACAAGAGAGAGUCCCAGAUCCCACCCAAGGAGAAAAUUCCCCACAGUCUCUUGUGUAGCAAGCUCUAGAUAGUGGCAUGAUAGAGACUAUCCACUUCUUCCCAAAGUCUCCUUUUUUCUUUAGCAAUAUGAAAAGAAGUUAGCAAAGACAAAAAAACAAAAAACAACCCUUUAACAAAAUACAACACCCAUUCCUAUUAAAAACAACCUCCAACAAAGUUGAAGAUUAUAAAUAAACUGACGUAAAUCAGCAUAUUAUAUUAAGUCCAACUAAAUUCAGUAGGAAGAGAGAGAAAUUCCAUUUAAAAUAACAGCAGACAAUAUAAAAUACUUGGGAAUCUACCUUCCCCCCAAGACAAAACCAGGAAUCAUUUGAACACAGUUUUUGCACAAAUAAAGAUUUGGACAUUUGGAGAAAUAUGAAUUGCUUAUGGGUAAGCCAAGCCAAUAUAAUAAAAAUGACAAGUCUUCCAAAGUUAAUUUACUUACUCAGUACCAUACCAAUUAACUUACCAAAGAAUUAUUUUAUAGAGUAAGAAAAAAUAAUUUAAUUCUUCUGGAAGAACAAAAGGUCAAGAAUAUUAAGGGAAUCAAUUUUUUUAAAUGUUAAGAAAUCUAAUUUAGCAGUUUCAGAUGUCAAAUUAUGUUACAAAUUAUAAUCAUCCAAAUAAUCUGGUCCUGGUUAAGAAAGAGUUGUGGAUCAGUGGAAUAGAUUGGGUACCCAGUAUGUAAAUGACCAUGGUAAUCUAGUGUUUGAUAAACCCAAACAUCCAAGCUUUGGGGGUAAAAACUCAAAAUGUGACCAAAAAAAAUUGCUGGGAAAACCGGUAAGCAGUUCAGCAGAAAUUAGGCAUAGACCACCACCUCACAUUGUAUAUCAAGAUAAGGGCAAAAUAGAUAAAUGAUUUAUACAUAAAGGGUGUUUUAUACAUAAAGGGUAAAGUAAAUUAAGGGGGCAUGGAAAAACGCACCUGUAAGAACUAUGGAUAAGGGAAGAGUUAAUAACCAAACAAGAGAUAGAAUUGCAGGAAAUAAAAUGGAAAGUUUAGAUUACAUGAAAUUAAAAAUCUUUUGCACAAACAUAAUUAGUGCAGCCAAAAUUAGAAAGAAAACAGGAAACUGGAAAAAAUGUGAACUGAGUCAAAUUUAUAAGAAUACAAAUCAUUCCACAGUUGGUAAAUGGUCAGAGGAUAUGAAUAGUCAGUUUUCAGAGGAAGAAAUUAAAACUAUCAAUAUUUACAAAAUAUGCUCUAAAUUAGAUUUAGAUUAGAGAAAUUAGAUUAAUGAAUAGAGAAAUACAAAUUAAAACAACUCUGAGAUACCAACUAAUAUAUGUCAGAUUUGCUAAUGUGACAAAAAAGAAAAAUGAGAGAGAUUUGAGAGUGUGUGGUACAAUUGGAACACUAACGUACUGUUGGAGAUGUGAAUUUUUCUAAUCAUUCUGAAGAACAAUUUGAAACUAGACCCAAAAGACUAUAAAACUGUCUCUACUCUGACCCAGCAAUACGACUGGGUCUGUUUCUCAAAGAGAUAAAAGAAAAGGGGAAAGGAGCUAUUUGUCAAAAAAUAUUUACAGCAGCUCUUUUUGUGUUGGCAAAAAAUCUGGAAAAAGAGAAGAUGACCAUUUUAGGAAUGGUUGAAUGAAUUAUGGUGUAUGAUUGUGAUGGAAUACCAUUGUGCCAUAAGACAUAAGUAGGAGGGUUUCAAGAAAAACCUCGGAAGACUUCCUUGAACUCAUGCAAAGCAGAACCAGGAAAACAUUCUACAUAGUAGUACUGUAAGGAUGAGUGACUAUGAAAAACUUAGCUACUCUGUUCAAGACAAUGAUUCAAGGGAAUCCCAAAGGUUCCUUAAUGAAAAAUAUUAUCUUCCUCCAAAGAGAGGACUGAAUGCAGAUUGAAACAUGCUUUGUUAAACUUUGGUGGGUUUUUUUCCAUCUUAUUUUGUUUAUUUUCUUUUGCAGCAUGGCUAAUAUGGAAAUGUUUUGCAUGACUUUAUGUAUAUAAUCAAAUUGCUCACCUUCUUAAAGAGGGAGGAAGGGCACAAGGGAGAGAUAAUUUGGAACACAACAAAAAAAAUGUUUUUAAUCUGCCUUAGAAUUAAUACUAUAUACUGUUCUAAGACAGAAGAGUGGUAAGGGCUAGACAAAGGGAGUUAAGUGACUUGCCCAGGGAAGUAUCUGAGGCCAGAUUUGACACUAAGACCUUCUGUCUCUAGACUUGGCUUUCUAUCCACUAAGUCACCUGGCUGCCCCCAGAACUCAAAAAAAUUUUAAAUGAUUGUUAAAAAUUUUUUUUAUAUGUAAUUGAGCAAUAUCUAAUGAAAUA